UUUUCCAGGCUGAACAAGCCCAACUCCCUCAGCCUGUCCUCAUAGGGGAGGUGUUCCAGCCCCCUGAUCAUCUUAGCAAUCAGUGAUCAGGAGCUGCAUUCUGGAUUAGCUAGAUUCCUACAUGAUCCAACGCAGUCAUUCUCUGUUUAUGUUCAUAUGAGAAGAAUUUUAUGAAAAAAAAGAAAGAAAAAAUAAAAAGCAGGUGUACAUUCUCAUUGGUUUUAUUAAACCACUAUGCUAUUACUUUAUCUGAAAGGCUGUAGAAUCAGCUAUUUUUCACCACAUCUCUAUCAAGUUUCUACCUGAUGAAGAACAAUCAGAAGUAAUUUUGAAGCAAUGGAAUGGCCAUGUCCUGUAUGAAAAACAUUUGUGUCCAAUUUUAUUGAAGAAAUAGGGAACAGAAUAGGAGCUAACAGGAUGACUUUUGAAACAUGAAGACCUAUGAGGUGAAGAAACACCUGCAGAAUUUGUUAUUUCUGUCUACUACUGCAUUAGCCAUGGGUAGUAAGUGAUUUUGAAAUUUUCCCAAGUUCUGUGUUGUUUUAUUUUAACUGCUGGACAUGUCUGGGAAGUGACACACCAGAGCUCAGGGUGCUCGCUAUGAUGAGUGGCCAGGUAGGCUGGAGCUGCUCUUGCAGGUGGCUAGCAGGAAAUUUUUGUAAGGGGAUUAAAGGCCAAAAGCAAAUGCCUACGAUACGUGUCAGAGCUGUCAAGGAAAAAAGCAGCACUGCUGCUUACUCAGAGUAAGAGAAGCUGAAGUGCAAACUGAUCCAAAAGGCACUGUCAUGGGGUGUGUCACGCAAGGGGCUUUAGCAAGGAUGAGUGACCAAGUCAGUGAAAUAAAGAUUUGCACAGGGAAGACCAGAAAGCUUUGAGAGCUGGAGUUCAUCCACUUGUUUGUAUACAGCCUGACAGGCUGUAGAGCCUCCUGGCCUACAGACUGAGGAGAAAGUGCCAGCCUCCUCAGGCUGCACCUGGCCUGGAUGGCCACUAUGGCUGGGAGGCUGCUGCUAUGGUCACUUUGCUUAUUCCUCCUUAUGAAGCUGAUAUCCUAAAAUAUCUUUGAGGCACCUUUUCUGCACAGAACAUCAUUUCUACAUGUUCAUGGACUCAUAAGUUUGGUCAUCUGUAUAUUCUAGGGCAUCCCAAACAUGCAAUGUUAAUGUUGUAGUAGUAGUGGUCUAAGAGUGUGAGAAAUGGUAGACAUGAGAAAUAAAAAAAUGUCCUAAGCAUAACAUCAUAAAUUGUAUUCUAAAUAGUGGUUCUAAUAAAAAAUAAUACCUCUUUCUACAGUUCUCACCUCACACAUCACAGACCUGUACAUGGCUACAUGGUGGAAAACACAUGUUAAAGUAAACUGGCACUUUUCAACAAGGGAUCCAAAUGUUCAAACAAGAUGCAAGACAAGAUACGUGUCUUACCAGGGUGAUACGUGUAUACUGAUGUGGUGUCAAGUAUUUAUUUUUCAUCUACAAAACAAGAGCCUUGCAGCAGAUGCCUGGAAGUACUUAUUUUGUAGCAUACACAAAACUCUUGAACUUAAAGCCACACUGUGUUCAUUCAGUUUCUCCUGCCUGUGCAGCAGAGAGGGAUUUUACUCAUUUGGCUGCUAAAAGUACACCACUGUGUACUUGUGGCCAUCUAACAUACACUGAGAAGAGCAAGCUAAAGCAGCUGCAGUCUGUGACCAUGGUGAAUAUCCCCUAAUUUCUAACUAAUUUCUAAUUAAGCAGAGUAUGAAAAUAGUUAUUACACACUGCCUCCUGCCAUCAUCACCUGAUCCUUUUGCCCAGAGGAAGGACAUCCAGCCCGCCACUCCGAUAUGUUUGGUUCCUUUUGUUUGUUUAUAACUAUUCUGAAGAUUGAGCUGACAGCUAAGGUGGGCAGGGCUGUGCCCAGGUGCUGGAAGGUUUGCCCUCAGAUGCCACCCCUCCUGACAAAGCUGAACAAUGGGCCACUCAUGGGAAAGUAUCGAGUUGCCUGACCUAAAGUGAGCUGUCACCAAUUUAAGCAUGGCAAAAAGCAUGACUCACUGCUACAUGCAGUUCCAAAAAGCCCUUAGUGAAGAAAAACAUGUGACUUUGCACUUGCUAAAGCAGGGCCACUCUAGAGUUUACAGCUGCUGUCAGCCCUCAGAGCUUUCCUCUUCACAAACAACAGUGCUUUAUGCAUGAAGACAGUCUCAAGAGCAAGACAGAGGAGCCCUGAUGGAACCAUAUUCCAUCGAAAUGUGUGAUUUUAUCAGUUCACUUCAGAAGAAGAAUUCUGCUUUAUAAUUUACAGGACUUCUGUCAAGCACAUGAAGCACAUGUAACUGGAACUGGGAUUGCAUGGGGAUACUGCACAGCCUGAACACUCACUGAAAAGCUCUCUGCCCCCCACCAUCCCCUCCCUCUGCAUCAUUUAGCUUUAGUUUCCUAAUGUUGCUUGUCUUUCUUCCUCUUACCAUGAUCCUAGCACCACUUGUGUUUCCAGGACAGCACUAAAGAUGUGCUAGCACCACAGAGAAAAAGAGAAAGAAAUAGAUACGUGUAUUGAGAAAAGCAGACUGAAGAGUCAUCAGAUGCCUUGUCACCAUGCUGUUCUUUAUUUGAAGACUUCAUGGUUCUUUUGGACAGUCUGAGGUACCCAUCCACCCUGGUUGCAGUCCCCAUCUCAAGAAGCCAUAGGAGGAUUUUAUCUUUUCCAGUUGUGUUGACACUGGACUUCAACCUUUCAGCACUGGCCGUGACGGAAGAUCAGGAUCAGAUCAUUGCAAACCUGAAGGGCAGGCAGGAGGCAUACCUCACACACUAAAAGUUCACCAGUGCAGAACAUGAGUAAAUCCUGUUCCACUUGAGUUUUCUUUCUACAGUAUUUAUAAGGUUUACUGAACACAGAGAGAUAUACACAUGCCAGUAAUAGCCUUUUUUUCUGGAGGCGCGGAUCUGUGGAUCCCUCCAACCCACUGGUCACAGAACCGGGCCGAACCAGCCUGUAAAACCAUUGACAGUAACCCUUAGAAAUCCUGCAGCUACAGUAAUAACGUGCCUUCAGGACUCUCUUGCAGAUACUCCCAGCACUUUCAUAGGUGGAGAGGUGGUAGAGGGCAUGAUGAACAUGCAUUUGUGUGAUACCCACAUCCUCCUGGGUGACAAACAAGUGUAUCUGAGGAGCUUGCUGCAGACUGCCCCUAGUCCCUUCCAGUGUCUUGCCCCUGCACUGCAUCAGAAAGCCCUGUGAAGGGCCUGCUUUGGCUGAAAAGAGCUUCUCCGUCAGACACGUGGCGAGGGAAGGCAGGUGGAGUCCCUGCCCUAGGAAGGUCAUGGGAUGUUUGGUCUUGUUUUGCUUCAUCAGCUUCAAGAUGCCAUUUCUACAUGUGGUUUUGGAACCCUUGGGGUUUUCUCCCUGUAAAUUUAUAACAUAAUAUAAUAUAAUAUAAUAAUAAUAAAUAUAAUAAUAAUAA